UACGGAGGGUGCGAGCGUUGUCCGGAAUCACUGGGCGUAAAGGGCGCGUAGGCGGCCUGAUAAGUAGGGUGUGAAAUCCUGCGGCUUAACCGCAGGGCUGCCUUCUAAACUGUCAGGCUGGAGCACAGUAGAGGCAGGUGGAAUUCCCGGUGUAGCGGUGGAAUGCGUAGAGAUCGGGAAGAACAUCAGUGGCGAAGGCGGCCACCUAGCCCGCACCUGACGCUGAGGCGCGACAGCGUGGGGAGCGAACUGG
rnacentral:rRNA from 1 species